ACGAAGUCAUGAAACAACUAAAGCAUUCUUCCUUUCCUUCGUAGUUUUUCUUGAGGGGAUUAGCAGGGUGCUUUGGUUUUGGAAGUUUGAUUGCUUUUGCUGCGAGGAGGUCAUCCAAGAUAGUUUCAACAUCCUCAUCAUCAAAUGUAUACUUGACUUCCUUCCUUUCUUUAAGAUAACUUUGGCGGCCAAUUGAGCUGCUAGCGCUGCCACUUCUGCUUCCCUUUCAACAAGCUUCCUUUGCAUAUCAAGAAGUUGUUCAUCUGCACUUGUUGUACCAGUCAUCAUGACAUGUAACCCCUCUGGAGACUGAAGUGAUAAAGCUCGAGCCCUUGCACGAGUGACUAGCCCUAUAUAUGGUCUCGAAACAAUUAAAGACUUGGGACUUGCCCCCUGUGUCAAGUGAUCUUGGACCUCCACAGUUUGAUUUUUGGACCCUUAUUUGGACUUGCUUGGGCCAAACACCUCUGACUGUUGAUGAUCAGAGUGUGGAAGCCUUAUUGAUUCCUCUGCAACUUUUAAAUGAGAUUCAGAAUCUUGGUCCUUGGGGGUUUUGGGUGAAACUUCCUUAUCUUCCUUGGUAGUGAUUACCAUUACGGACACAGUGGUAGUUAAGGUGAUUGGAAUUGAACCAAUCAUAAUUUGAGUGAUAAUCGGAGUCAUGGUUGUUAAAGACGUGAUUGAAUCAUUGACUUUGCAUCGAGUACUCUUAACAGUCUUAUAUGCAGGUGUCUCAACAGCUACAACCGGGAUAGUUUCAAUGAGCUAAAAUGAGUUAGCUUGUGCGUUUUUCUUCCUCAAAGCUCGUGUAGCCCUUUUCCUCGCAUUCCAUAUGGAAUUUUUGGAUGGGGAUUUCAU